rnacentral:rRNA from 1 species
CUGCGUGGAAGGGCCAUCGCUCAACGGAUAAAAGCUACCCUGGGGAUAACAGGCUUAUCUCCCCCAAGAGUCCACAUCGACGGGGAGGUUUGGCACCUCGAUGUCGGCUCAUCACAUCCGGGGGCUGUAGUAGGUCCCAAGGGUUGGGCGGUUCGCCCAUUAAAGUGGUACGCGAGCUGGGUUCAGAACGUCGUGUGACAGUUCGGUCCCUAUCCGUCGCAGGCGUAGGAAAUUUGAGAAGACCUGUCCUUAGUACGAGAGGACCGGGAUGGACGUACCUCUGGUGUACCAGUUGUUCUGCCAAGGGCAUGGCUGGGUAGCUA